AGUGAACGCUGGCGGUAGGCCUAACACAUGCAAGUCGAACGGCAGCACAGUAAGAGCUUGCUCUUACGGGUGGCGAGUGGCGGACGGGUGAGGAAUACAUCGGAAUCUACUUUUUCGCGGGGGAUAACGUAGGGAAACUUACGCUAAUACCGCAUACGACCUACGGGUGAAAGCAGGGGAUCUUCGGACCUUGCGCGAUUGAAUGAGCCGAUGUCGGAUUAGCUAGUUGGCGGGGUAAGGCCCACCAAGGCGACGAUCCGUAGCUGGUCUGAGAGGAUGAUCAGCCACACUGGCACUGAGACACGGUCCAGACUCCUACGGGAGGCAGCAGUGGGGAAUAUUGGACAAUGGGCGCAAGCCUGAUCCAGCCAUACCGCGUGGGUGAAGAAGGCCUUCGGGUUGUAAAGCCCUUUUGUUGGGAAAGAAAAGCAGCAGGUUAAUACCCCGCUGUUCUGACGGUACCCAAAGAAUAAGCACCGGCUAACUUCGUG
rnacentral:rRNA from 1 species